rnacentral:rRNA from 1 species
GGUAUAGUUCUUCGGAACUUGAGACCGGCGCACGGGUGCGUAACGCGUAUGCAAUCUACCUUUUACAGAGGGAUAGCCCAGAGAAAUUUGGAUUAAUACCUCAUAGCAUAGCAGUCUCGCAUGAGAUCACUAUUAAAGUCACAACGGUAAAAGAUGAGCAUGCGUCCCAUUAGCUAGUUGGUAAGGUAACGGCUUACCAAGGCUACGAUGGGUAGGGGUCCUGAGAGGGAGAUCCCCCACACUGGUACUGAGACACGGACCAGACUCCUACGGGAGGCAGCAGUGAGGAAUAUUGGACAAUGGGCGCAAGCCUGAUCCAGCCAUGCCGCGUGCAGGAUGACGGUCCUAUGGAUUGUAAACUGCUUUUAUACGAGAAGAAACACUGCUUCGUGAAGCAGCUUGACGGUAUCGUAAGAAUAAGGAUCGGCUAACUCCGUGCCAGCAGCCGCGGUAAUACGGAGGAUCCAAGCGUUAUCCGGAAUCAUUGGGUUUAAAGGGUCCGUAGGCGGUUUAAUAAGUCAGUGGUGAAAGCCCAUCGCUCAACGGUGGAACGGGCCAUUGAUACUGUUAAACUUGAAUUAUUAGGAAGUAACUAGAAUAUGUAGUGUAGCGGUGAAAUGCUUAGAGAUUACAUGGAAUACCAAUUGCGAAGGCAGGUUACUACUAAUGGAUUGACGCUGAUGGACGAAAGCGUGGGUAGCGAACAGGAUUAGAUACCCUGGUAGUCCACGCCGUAAACGAUGGAUACUAGCUGUUGGAAGCAAUUUCAGUGGCUAAGCGAAAGUGAUAAGUAUCCCACCUGGGGAGUACGUUCGCAAGAAUGAAACUCAAAGGAAUUGACGGGGGCCCGCACAAGCGGUGGAGCAUGUGGUUUAAUUCGAUGAUACGCGAGGAACCUUACCAAGGCUUAAAUGUAGAUUGACCGGUUUGGAAACAGAUCUUUCGCAAGACAAUUUACAAGGUGCUGCAUGGUUGUCGUCAGCUCGUGCCGUGAGGUGUCAGGUUAAGUCCUAUAACGAGCGCAACCCCUGUUGUUAGUUGCCAGCGAGUCAUGUCGGGAACUCUAACAAGACUGCCAGUGCAAACUGUGAGGAAGGUGGGGAUGACGUCAAAUCAUCACGGCCCUUACGCCUUGGGC